AAACUAGCAACGCACAGAGCACGCCGAGCUGAGGGAAAAAUCAUUUCACACGGAGUUUGUCUGCAUUUAAGAGCCAUUUUUAUCUGCGCCAUAACAGCCCUAUACGGAGCCCUCCUAGUGUCAGGCAGCGUUGUGCUGGAUGGAGCUUGACUGUCCUCAUGUGUCCACCCUCAGGGACGGCGAUUUCCCAGUAGUGGUAUUCUGGAUGGACAUCCCUCUUAAGAUCUCCAAGGUUCGACCCCCCCGGCGUCGGGAUGAAGGUCAGCCCCUUCUCCAGCAGCAGCCUCUCUCCCUGUGAUAAAUGAAAAGUUUUUGACAGAUUGAAGAUAUUGGAGUGCGACUGGUUGUUGCACGUCUCCGUCUUCAAUAGUUUAACUGAUUGCACCACCCAUCGAACAUGCGUUGUGCCGUCUCCGCGGUCCAGGGGAUAUGAUCUCUCUCGACCCUGAAAAACAAUCUCUUCAAUUCCCACAAUGGACUCCCGUGUGACACAAUGUAUUUAUUCAAUACCUCCAGAUUCUGCUGCUCCUGUAGAGGUAAGGAUUCUGAGAAUUGAAUAACCACUGUGUGGAUUGUGGCAUUCGGGAAUAUCGAUUGAGCCGUUCUCCAAAGGCACUGCAGUUGUUUUAUGGCCGUUUUAUGUGGAUGUUGUCCCCUGUUAUUUAAACCCCCAGACAGGAAUACCUUGUGUACCAGUGGAUGUGGAUUUUGUUUUUGCAGGAUUUUGGCCAUGUGUAGAAAAUUGGCCCCCGGAAAGCUGUCGACUUGUGUGUUUGGGUUUUUGAUUACAGGGAUCCGACUGAGAUUGGAGUCCCUGAUGAUUACUAUGGGUUUUCGAAUGUUGAUGGACCAAUCUAUCGCUUUCCUAUCGGUGUUGAUAUGUCGGUUUGGUUUUUUAUCUAAAUCGAUGAUAUCUAAAAGCCCAUCGUCUGUGGAGUCCGAGGAUACUCUAUCAGAUUUUGCCACUGUGAUAUGUUCAGGAGGGGCGGAUUCAGAGCGGGUUUCAGCACGAGAUUCACUCCGUUCAAUACCCUUUGUCAUCCUUAUCCUCUUUGUGUUAACAGUGGCGCCAUCUGUAUCGUCGUCCUCCCCCACAGGCGUGGUUGCUGGCCGGACCUGAGAGAGAUCAGGUAGAUUUAUUUUCACCGUGACUCUAUCCCGUUUAAGUUUGGGGUGUGUGUCUGGACUCACCUCUGGGGCGUGGACUUGGGCCUGGACUUUGAUUUGCCUGUGUCGGUGUCCAAGUCCCGCUAACGGGGCAACAGAUAUGGGCGAGUUAGAUUGUAAAUGGUGGAUCUGGAUAACAUUAUUCAAAGUGUGCUCAAUAGGUGGAUUGUAAAUCUGUGCCUGUGGAGAACCGGCCCUUUGAAGGGCAGUGGCGUGUGAAAUUGGGCCCGAUUUAUGUGAAGAAGCUGAUUGUUUGUGUUGUAUGUUAUCUUUACAGAACUCUAGCACGCUGUCUGUCAGUUUUUGUUUAAACCUAUGUCUGGCCCAUUUCACCGCCACUGUCUAUUCCAAUUCCCCGAAAAUCUGUAUGUCAUCCAUAAGGUUAUGUGUAACUUGUGUGUAAUGUUCCUGUAAGAUGAGCAUGUUAUUGUUCAUCCAUGUGAGUGUGUUUUGCUUGAUUUUUUUGUGUGGUUGUGUCAUUAGGUGAUGCUGGUUUUAUGAAUUGUGUGAGUUUAUUGACCUGUCUGUACAUACCAGCCGGAUGGUUGUUUGUGUGCAGGGAGUGUUCCACUAUCUGCAUGUGGUGUGUGGCUUGUAUUAACUUGAAGUAUGUUUUUGUCAGUGUUUUAUCAAAUGUGUUGUGUUUGCUUGGUGAUGCUUGUGUUUGUGUAUUUUCCCCUUCCCCAAUUUGCUCAUGGUCUCCUAAAACAGCAAAUCUAUUGUGCCACGCCUUCAUUUUGUACCUUUCCGGUGAGCAGACUUCAACAGUGUCUGGUGAAAACAACAAUCAUCAACCACAUCACCAUAACAUAGACCGCUCUUACCCUACCAUCUGUUCGUCAGUCCUCAAUUGAGUGUUGUCCUUGGUUCUUAUCCGGACGAUCUUCCUUUGAUCCAGGAUUCUUUUUUGGACCGUUGGUGUUUGUGGGCGGAGUCUCUCAAGCCGUUUUCAGAGGAUACAGGGAGGAUAGGAAGGAAGAGAAGGGGAAGAAAGAAACAAAAAGAAAAAAAGGAAAAAAAGGAAAAGAAAGAAAAGGAAGGGGGGAUAAAGAGUUCAAGCCUUCUCACUUCCUUCAGAAAAUUCACCGUCCAGUUUCUUUAUCUUCCCGAGGGUUUCCUGAUUACCUCCUGGUCUUUCGUUUCCUCGUCGACUCGGCUGGUCUGUGGCUUGAUGUCCUUGACACUGUUGCGUUCCUUUCCCGGUUUCGCUUAAAAGUUUAAACCCUAUUCAAUUUUUCUUGUUUAAAAACAAAGUUUUUGUAAUAAUAUAAUAAAAGGCUAGAAAAAGAGAAAAAAACUGUUAGGAGGUUCCUUCAGUAAAAUCCUAACGUUUCACAUCCAAGAUGCUUCUUCAGAGGAUUAUCAACUACCUUGGGGAAAGGGGCCUAUAUUUAUACCUCUAGUGUGGGUGUGGUCGAAUGUGAGUAAAUCUGAUGGUGAUUGGUUGAGUUUUGUAACCUCCCAAGGAGCAGCCCCAUCUGUGGCUUUAUUUUUCCCUCCAAAACGAGGGAUUUAAAUGAGUGGUUAAUGAUUACUGAAAUUUUAGUCCAGAGUUGUCAAAAUAAAAGUUCCCAAAUCAGUCCACCAUUUUGUUUGGUCCUGUAGGAUCUUUUUCAAGUUAAAAGUCCCUAUACUCAUCUUUUAUUAAAAUGAUCCUUUAGGUCUUCCCCUCGAUGAGGGGAAGAAAGAUAAGAGGGCACGGGCUGGGUUAGGUUUUUGAAUUAUUUAUUUCUUACUUAAAGUCCCCUGAUUUAGGUUAAAUGUGCACUGGCACAUCUCCAUCUUCCUUCUCUUUUGUCAUUUGUGAUAUUCUCAGUGUUUUAUUCUGUCUUUUGUGUAUGAGGACUGAUCUGUGUAUUUAUCAAAAAAUGGGUUAUUUGGUUUUUAGUGGCCUAUAUGUCUAUCCUUUUCUGAUCAAAAGUCAGACUAUUCAGGGUUAGGGUGAGGCUUAGGCUCAGGAAUGAAAUUUGAAAACGAGCAGAUUGUUAGGCUUAGGGUUGGGGUCAGGCAUGGGGUUGAAAGGUUAGGGUUAGGGUCAGUGGUGGGAUUCCAAGGUUAGGGUUGGGGUCAACAAUGGGGUUCAAAAAGGUUGUGUUUAGGGUUUGGGUUGUGGUCAGGCAUAGGGUUCAAAGGUAGGGUCAGUGGUGGGGUUCCAAGGUUAUAGUUAGGGUUGGGGUUAGGG